rnacentral:lncRNA from 1 species
AUCCCAUUUGCCUCAGGGCUGAGGUGACAUUUCAAUUACUGGUCUUUGCCGGAAGAAGGACCGCCUUUGGAUGCCCCCUUUGGAGACAGCUGCUUUGGACUUUAUCUUGCCCCAUUUCAUCA